rnacentral:rRNA from 1 species
GAUGAACGCUGGCGGCGUGCUUAACACAUGCAAGUCGAACGGGAUCCCGGGGGUUCGCUUCCGGGUGAGAGUGGCGAGCGGGUGAGUAAUGCGUGACCGACCUGCCCCAUACACCGGAAUAGCUCCUGGAAACGGGUGGUAAUGCCGGAUGCUCCGGUUGGAUGCAUGUCCUUCCGGGAAAGAUUCUAUCGGUAUGGGAUGGGGUCGCGUCCUAUCAGCUUGAUGGCGGGGUAACGGCCCACCAUGGCUUCGACGGGUAGCCGGCCUGAGAGGGCGACCGGCCACAUUGGGACUGAGAUACGGCCCAGACUCCUACGGGAGGCAGCAGUGGGGAAUAUUGCACAAUGGGCGCAAGCCUGAUGCAGCGACGCCGCGUGCGGGAUGGAGGCCUUCGGGUUGUAAACCGCUUUUGAUCGGGAGCAAGCCCUUCGGGGUGA